GACGAACGCUGGCGGCGUGCUUAACACAUGCAAGUCGAACGGAAAGGCCUCUUUCGGGGGGUACUCGAGUGGCGAACGGGUGAGUAACACGUGAGUAACCUGCCCUUACUUUGGGAUAACUUCAGGAAACUGGGGCUAAUACCGGAUAGGAGCUCCUGCUGCAUGGCGGGGGUUGGAAAGUUUCGGCGGUUGGGGAUGGACUCGCGGCUUAUCAGCUUGUUGGUGGGGUAGUGGCUUACCGAGGCUUUGACGGGUAGCCGGCCUGAGAGGGUGACCGGCCAUAUUGGGACUGAGAGAAGGCCCAGACUCCUACGGGUGGGAGCAGUGGGGAAGAUUGAACGAGGGGUGGAAGCCUGAUGCAGCAACGCCGUGGGCGGGAUGACGGCGUUCGGGUUGUAAACCGCUUUCGCUCAUGACGAAGCUUUGUGUGACGGUAGUUGGUAAAAAAGCACCGGCUAACUACGUG
rnacentral:rRNA from 1 species